rnacentral:rRNA from 1 species
CCGGUAAACGGCGGCCGUAACUAUAACGGUCCUAAGGUAGCGAAAUUCCUUGUCGGGUAAGUUCCGACCUGCACGAAUGGCGUAAUGAUGGCCAGGCUGUCUCCACCCGAGACUCAGUGAAAUUGAACUCGCUGUGAAGAUGCAGUGUACCCGCGGCAAGACGGAAAGACCCCGUGAACCUUUACUAUAGCUUGACACUGAACAUUGAGCCUUGAUGUGUAGGAUAGGUGGGAGGCUUAGAAGUGUGGACGCCAGUCUGCAUGGAGCCGACCUUGAAAUACCACCCUUUAAUGUUUGAUGUUCUAACGUUGACCCGUAAUCCGGGUUGCGGACAGUGUCUGGUGGGUAGUUUGACUGGGGCGGUCUCCUCCUAAAGAGUAACGGAGGAGCACGAAGGUUGGCUAAUCCUGGUCGGACAUCAGGAGGUUAGUGCAAUGGCAUAAGCCAGCUUGACUGCGAGCGUGACGGCGCGAGCAGGUGCGAAAGCAGGUCAUAGUGAUCCGGUGGUUCUGAAUGGAAGGGCCAUCGCUCAACGGAUAAAAGGUACUCCGGGGAUAACAGGCUGAUACCGCCCAAGAGUUCAUAUCGACGGCGGUGUUUGGCACCUCGAUGUCGGCUCAUCACAUCCUGGGGCUGAAGUAGGUCCCAAGGGUAUGGCUGUUCGCCAUUUAAAGUGGUACGCGAGCUGGGUUUAGAACGUCGUGAGACAGUUCGGUCCCUAUCUGCCGUGGGCGCUGGAGAACUGAGGGGGGCUGCUCCUAGUACGAGAGGACCGGAGUGGACGCAUCACUGGUGUUCGGGUUGUCAUGCCAAUGGCACUGCCCGGUAGCUAAAUGCGGAAGAGA